CUCAGGUGAUGGUCAGGGGGGCCAGCGCUGUGUUUCCCUUCCUGGCAGGGGGAGUUACCGGGCCCUGCGCCCGGCACGGCUCUGGGACCGCUGCCGGGAUCGGCUCCUCGCAGCACGCUGUGCUCCAGAAGAACUGCGGGCUCCACGCUGGCGUCGCUCUCUUCUCCUGGAGGAGGCCAGGAUGUUUUCUUCAGGGCUCGGAGCUCGGUCCUCACUCCUCCGCCCGCUCCUCCGCUGAUCCCGCUGUGCCGGCUGCCUUCUGGGGCUGCGGGACCUGCCCCGGGACUGGCCCCUUCUCCCCUGCUUUUUUUUCAAGUGUGGGACUUCU